rnacentral:rRNA from 1 species
CGGGGGGGGCAAGCGUUGUUCGGAAUUACUGGGCGUAAAGGGCUCGUAGGCGGCCAACUAAGUCAGACGUGAAAUCCCCAGGCUCAACCUGGGAACUGCGUCUGAUACUGGAUGGCUUGAAUUCGGGAGAGGGAUGCAGAAUUCCAGGUGUAGCGGUGAAAUGCGUAGAUAUCUGGAGGAAUACCGGUGGCGAAGGCGGCAUCCUGGACCGACAUUGACGCUGAGGAGCGAGAGCUAGGGGAGCAAACGGGAUUAGAUACCCCGGUAGUCCUAGCCCUAAACGAUGAAUGCUUGGUGUAACGGGUAUCGAUCCCUGUUGUGCCGAGGCUAACGCAUUAAGCAUUCCGCCUGGGGAGUACGGUCGCAAGGCUG